rnacentral:sRNA from 2 species
UGUACAAAAAGGCCGAAUCCCCGGACAAGCCGGGGUACGGGGGACAAUACCUUUUGGGGUGAAUCGGAUUCAGAAGCCGGAAGCCGUUAAGCCGUAAGCCGCCUUAGCGGGUUUGCGAGGCAAAUUCCGGCAGGAAUCAGGCUUCCUGCCUAUGGCAGCCGGUUCUGAAACCGUAGGGUACCCUCUAACCCGAACCCUUCAACUAACCUCGGAGGCCAAAGGAGGGGUUUU